UCGUAAGCACAUUUUUAAAAUAUGUUCUAAUGUUUUUAUCAAUAAGUUAUUAAAUAUGAGUAGAGACUCCUACUUUAGGUUACGACUUGAAGUUGGACUCCUUACGAACAAUCAUAACUACCAAUAAUACAAUUUCUUCAAAUACUGAAAGCUUUGAACUAUAGUUGUUCGAGCCUAUUAAUUUAUAACACGAGCACAGAAUUUUGUACAAUGCUUUUCUCAUUUACUUAUGCUUCCAAAUUUGGAGAUUCUACUUCACAUUGUAAAUUUGAUGACAGAUUUGCUACUUGAAAUAUUGACACGGACAAAGCAAAUUGUAGCCAUGUUGAUCAUUGAGAAAUGAAAGCAUUGGCAGCUCCAAUGGGAAGGAAAGCAGCAGUUCAGAUUAAGAUAGCAGGUCCCGGAGUGCAGUUUAUGCCUGUCCAUCUCAACAUUUCAUCAAGAUGCUUACACCUUGGGUGGUUGGUUCCUCUUUCAGUUGUUAAGAUCUGCUCUGUGAUCUGUUCCAUCUAGAGUUGUGGAGAAGGGAUGCAGCAUGGUUUGGAAAUAAAAAUUUGGUCAUGUGAAUUCUAUUAAGCUUUAAUGGAAUAUUCAAUAGGGCCGGAUUUUGGAGUACAAUGGCUUCCAAUGUGACAAACCCGAUGUUGUCAAAUAUUGGCCAUGGCAACUGAAGUUGUUAUUUUCUUUUGAAGCAUAUUCACACACAAAUCUAGAGCUUCCUUUCUGAGCUGGCACUUCCCUGUCCUGCUUCACUAUCAAGUGGUGUGAUCCAUAACUUCCCCCAGUUGAGCCCGAACCAAUAUCAUUGAAGGAUUCACUGUCCAUGACUACAACUCCCUGCUAUACAAUCUAAAGAUCGAAGAAGUUAGAGAAUAGAUGAUUUUACAGAUUCAGUGAUUAAAUUGAUGUAUUUAACAAUUAACUUCUCAUUGA